CAGUGGCGGCGCCAGGCUUCCAAAUUUUGGGGGGGGGCAUUUGAGGGGCAAACUCAAAUUUUGGGGGAGCAAGGGGUAAAAAGGUCGCCCCCCAGGAAAUCCGCCCCCCCCCUCAAAACGUGGCGAUAUUCCUAGGAAUAUCGCCCCCGGGGGCGAAUAUCCUAGGAAUAUCGCCUCCCAGGGGGGUGGGGCGAAUACCCUAGAAAUAUCGCCCCUCUUUAGGCCAUAAGCCAUACAUUUUCCGAUAACGACAGAACGCUUGUGUAGCCUUUAGUCUCUCUUAGUGACUAAUAAUUUUUUUUGAGGGGGGGGAAAUGGGGGGGGGGCAAAAAAUAAUUUGGGGGGCAUUUGGCCCCCCUUGCCCCCCCCUGGCGCCGCCACUGAAUGUAACUCUAAU
rnacentral:lncRNA from 1 species